UCCAGACUCCUACGGGAGGCAGCAGUGGGGGAUAUUGCACAAUGGGGGGAACCCUGAUGCAGCGACGCCGCGUGGGUGAAGGAGCGUUUCGGCGCGUAAAGCCCUCUCGGCAGGGAAGAAGGAGGACGGUACCUGACUAAGAAGCCCCGGCUAACUACGUGCCAGCAGCCGCGGUAAUACGUAGGGGGCAAGCGUUAUCCGGAUUUACUGGGUGUAAAGGGGGCGCAGACGGCAGCGCAAGCCAGGAGUGAAAGCCCGGGGCCCAACCCCGGGACUGCUCUUGGAACUGCGCGGCUGGAGUGCAGGAGGGGCAGGCGGAAUUCCUGGUGUAGCGGUGAAAUGCGUAGAUAUCAGGAGGAACACCGGUGGCGAAGGCGGCCUGCUGGACUGCAACUGACGUUGAGGCCCGAAAGCGUGGGGAGCAAACAGGAUUAGAUACCCCAGUAC
rnacentral:rRNA from 1 species